AUUGUAGCGCAAUGGAUAUCGCGUUGAACUUCUAAUCCAAGGGUCGUGGGUUCAAAUUCUACCUGGAAUG
rnacentral:tRNA from 1 species